GGAUGUGAGGAUGAUGUAGCUGUAUCCUUAUUCACUUCAUUGAUCACCAGGGCUGAUUUGGCUGGCUAGGCCGGUGUCCCCUUUUCCCCUCAUUACUCUAAUCAUAACCAUCCCAGGCUAUUUCUUUGGGUAAGGAAAUAUGGUAAGUAUGUACUUCCUUAGGAGCCUAAAAACCCCAAGAGGGCAUCAGAAAUAGUGAAUAAAUACCAGUUGCUGUAGGCUACAUUUCAGAAGAAGUAACUGUCAAAACCAGCCUCUAAGUAUUUCUUGCCUU
rnacentral:snRNA from 1 species